rnacentral:rRNA from 1 species
UACGUAGGGUGCAAGCGUUGUCCGGAAUUAUUGGGCAUAAAGAGCUCGUAGGCGGUCUGUCGCGUCGGCUGUGAAAACUUGGGGCUCAACCCCAAGCCUGCAGUCGAUACGGGCAGACUAGAGUGCGGUAGGGGAGACUGGAAUUCCUGGUGUAGCGGUGAAAUGCGCAGAUAUCAGGAGGAAUACCGAUGGCGAAGGCAGGUCUCUGGGCUGAUACUGACGCUCAUGCACGAAAGCGUGGGGAGCAAACA